UACAGAGGUCUCAAGCGUUGUUCGGAUUCAUUGGGCGUAAAGGGUGCGUAGGUGGCGCUGUAAGUCGGGUGUGAAAUUUCGGAGCUUAACUCCGAAACUGCAUUCGAUACUGCGGUGCUUGAGGACUGGAGAGGAGACUGGAAUUUACGGUGUAGCAGUGAAAUGCGUAGAGAUCGUAAGGAAGACCAGUGGCGAAGGCGGGUCUCUGGACAGUUCCUGACACUGAGGCACGAAGGCCAGGGGAGCAAACGGG
rnacentral:rRNA from 1 species